GAAAGCGUGACGAGGUUAAUCCGAGUGACUUCCGCUGAGGAGGUCUUUUGUCAGCUAUAAAUAGGCGGGCGAAUAAGGGGAGGGCAAGCCUGGUGUCAGCCGCCGCGGUAAUACCAGCUCCUCGAGUGGUCGGGGCGAUUAUUGGGCCUAAAGCAUCCGUAGCCGGUUCCGUAGGUCUUCUGUUAAAUCCAACCGCUUAACGGUUGACCUGCAGAAGAUACCGCGGGACUAGGAGGCGGGAGAGGCGGACGGUACUCCGCGUGUAGGGGUAAAAUCCUUUGAUCCGCGGAAGACCACCAGUGGCGAAGGCGGUCCGCCAGAACGCGCUCGACGGUGAGGGAUGAAAGCUG
rnacentral:rRNA from 1 species